CUAGCCAUCAGCAGGAUGAUGGCCCUAGGCUCAGAACUCUACCACUGCCCUCCAGAGAGAUUUAGAGUGAGUAAACUCCAUGUUGAUUCAGGAUCUCAUUGGAUAAGCUGCAUGGCACACCUAUAUCGACCUUUUAGACGACCAGGAGGAUCGGAGCAAGCAGAAUGGCAUGCUGAUAGGAAAGAGAUGGGGCUCAUUGAUAGGCAGGGGAGUGCAUGGGGACAUACACGCAUGGCCCCUGCUGGAACGAAAUACUCUCAACCAUGGAGGCAUUUAAGACCCAAAGCCCGCAUCGGCACCCCAACGACUUCAUUGCGGCGGCGAUAUUCCAAGGCCGAUGCCCCUCCAAUUGCCCAUAAGUAAGGAUAGUGAGCACAUCGUUGACCUCCAUUUG
rnacentral:lncRNA from 1 species